CCCUUAGAUGUUCUGGGCUGCACACGCGCUACACUGAAGCUAUCAACACGUUUUCCCUCCCUGAGAAGGGCGGGUAACCUUUUGAAUCAGCUUCGUGGUAGGGAUCGGGACUUGCAAUUGUUCCCCGUGAACCAGGGAUUCCUAGUAGACGCGAGUCAUAAGCUCGCAUCGAUUAAGUCCCUGCCCUUUGUACACACCGCCCGUCGCUACUACCGAUUGAACGUUUUAGUGAGGCAUUUGGACCGACGCAUCUCAGUUUAACCGCUGGUUUGUGUUGGAAAGACUUCCAAACUUGAGCGUUUAGAGGAAGUAAAAGUCGUAACA
rnacentral:rRNA from 1 species